rnacentral:rRNA from 1 species
CAGCAGCCGCGGUAAAACGAAGGGGGCUAGCGUUGCUCGGAAUUACUGGGCGUAAAGGGAGCGUAGGCGGAUCGUUAAGUUGGGGGUGAAAGCCCGGGGCUCAACCUCGGAACUGCCUUCAAUACUGGCGAUCUUGAGUAUGAGAGAGGUGUGUGGAACUCCGAGUGUAGAGGUGAAAUUCGUAGAUAUUCGGAAGAACACCAGUGGCGAAGGCGACACACUGGCUCAUUACUGACGCUGAGGCUCGAAAGCGUGGGGAGCAAUCAGGAUUAGAUACCCCCGUAGUCCCUGUCUCUUAUAC